rnacentral:rRNA from 1 species
GAUCAUGGCUCAGGAUGAACGCUGGCGGCGUGCUUAACACAUGCAAGUCGAACGAAGCACUUUAAUUGAUUUCUUCGGAAUGAAGUUUUUGUGACUGAGUGGCGGACGGGUGAGUAACGCGUGGGUAACCUGCCUCAUACAGGGGGAUAACAGUUGGAAGCGACUGCUAAUACCGCAUGAGCACACAGGAUUGCAUGAUCCAGUGUGAAAAACUCCGGUGGU